GGGAGGAGUUGGAUCUAGAUCCAACUCCACCCCCUGGACCUUGUGUUCUGCAGUGAAGACCAUCUCGCCAUAGGUAAAUAAUGAGGAGAAUAACAACGUGCAGUAAACGGACUUGGUCUCAGCAGGACUUUGAGCACUCCUAGACUACAAGCUGUGAUCACCAACAGGCUGAUUGAUAGGGACAAAAUGAAGACAUCAAUUGCGGGACGUGGAUAGUUGAAAACAGCAAGUCCUGCAUGAACCACAGAUGCCAACCAGACCAGUCCUGCACCAAUAUAUCUGUGCUUCACAAAGGCUGGACUGCGGUACAUCACUGGAUGAGCCACAGCCAUGUAACGCUCAACACAAAUCAAGCAAUUCAUAAAUGGACGUCCAACCAGGGACAGUAGACUAGCAACAGGAAGUAACAGGAGAGGAGGGAUGGGAAUGGGAUCAGCAAAGGACCUCGACCCAGGACUCAAACUCAGGUCGCCCAAAGCACUUUUGUGCAAUAUGUCAGAGGUCUGCCCAGAAGGCUAUGGUUCUAACAAGAUUUUCUACCAAUUUUUAUCACCUUUUUGCAACCACUAAUUCAUUUUAAAUUUAUUUUGGUCCUUCUGUGUGCCAAAUUGAUUGUCAAAAGUAUAUUACAUGCAGUCUCUCAGUUCAUUUGAGAUCACGAAAUCUAUUUGUAUAAUAUAAUAAAAAAAUUAAAAAGUCAAAAUAUGGUUUUUAAAUGUAUUUAUACUUAAAUAUAGUAUAUAAUCUCUUUAUUAUCAAAAGAAUCAUUAGACUUAUUUUAUCAGCAGUAUUAAUA